rnacentral:rRNA from 1 species
GACGAACGCUGGCGGCGUGGAUUAGGCAUGCAAGUCGAACGGUAUCAUCCUUUCGGGGGUGAGAGAGUGGCGAACUGGUGAGUAACACGUAGGUUAUCUACCCUCAAGACGGGGACAACCCAGGGAAACUUGGGCUAAUACCGGAUGUGAGCAACUUUUAGUUGUUUGAAAGGUGGCGUAAGCUGUCGCUUGGGGAUGAGCCUGCGUCCUAUUAGUUAGUUGGUGAGGUAACGGCUCACCUAGGCAAUGAUAGGUAGGCGGCCUUAACGGGUGGUCGCCCACACUGGGGAUUGAGAUACGGCCCAGACUCCUACGGGAGGCAGCAGUCGAGAAUAGUCUACAAUGGUCGGAAGACUGAUAGUGCGACGCCGCGUGAACGAUGAAUCCCUUCGGGGUGUAAAGUUCUUUUAUAUGUGAGCAGUGCUUCUUAUAUUAACAGUAUGGGGAAGAGAUAUUAGCAUAUGAAUAAGCAACGGCUAAACUCCGUGCCAGCAGCCGACGGUAAACUACG